UACAGAGGUCCCGAGCGUUGUUCGGAUUCACUGGGCGUAAAGGGUGCGUAGGUGGUGAGGUAAGUCGGAUGUGAAAUCUCCAAGCUCAACUUGGAAAUGGCAUUGGAAACUACCUUGCUGGAGGUUUGAAGGGGGGACUGGAAUUCUCGGUGUAGCAGUGAAAUGCGUAGAUAUCGUGAGGAACACCAGUGGCGAAGGCGAGUCCCUGGACAACACCUGACACUGAGGCACGAAAGCUAGGGGAACAAACGGG
rnacentral:rRNA from 1 species